rnacentral:sRNA from 1 species
UACAUCAUUCAUAUAGCACAUUUGAAAUACUACACGAAAUUUUUUCGACCUUAAUUUUGAACUAAUUAAGAUUAUUUUUAUUUAAAAUCUCACAAAAAUUUAGUUUAAAAAAAACAAUCGUUCCAUCAUUCUCUAUCUUCUAUCUCCUCUAAAAAAACAGAUCUAUGAGUUUAGUUUUCGCCGUUUUUGCAUUAAAGUCUUUUCAUUGUCGAUAGUUGGGUUGGUGGACGAAGAUAAACGCUUUUCUUCUCCGAUCAUAUGAUGAGACGAGGUAGAUGAUGAUAUUUCUAAAGCAAUAAUGUUUAUGCUCAAAUGAAUUUAUUAAGAGAAAUAUAAACCGGAAAUUAGAUAGUUCAUUAAGAGUUUAUUAUUCAAAU